GGCUGCAGGGGGCGCCGUGCGCGCCGGGCCGCGGCUCCGGUAGAUUAGGGCCAGCAGGGCACGUGGCUUGGGACCGUGUGGAGAGUGCGGGCGCUGGACAGCAGCUCCGGCCCCUCACCGACGCGCAGCCCGCGCCUGGGCCGACCUGUUGACUGAAAAUCAGCCGGCGCUUGGCCAGAUGCGUCGAUGGAGGCCCGCAGCCCAGCGACGACGUGGUAGUCAUGGCUGAAGCGGCGCCUGCCCCGCCAAAUGCAGAGAAGAGCUCAUACCUCUAUUCCAUAGAAAUCACACUGUGGACCGUGGUGCCUGCUGUUCAGGCCUUGGAGAAGAAAAGUGGAUUCUUGCCUGGCCCGCUUGCUGACUCUGGAGGGAUGCUCAGGGACAGCAGAGAAGAAGCUGGCUGACUGUGAGAAGACAGCUGUGGAGUUCAGCAGCCAGCUGGAGGGCAAGUUGGCCGUGCUGGGGACCCUGCCUCAGGAGUCUAGGCUGCUGCAUGAAGAACCUCAUGGGCAACUGGAACUUCUGGGUCCAGCGGCUUCCCCCUGGCAACAAGGGGGAGGUCCCCAAGGUGCCCCUGACCUUUGAUGACAUGGCUGUAUAUUUCUCUGAAUUAGAGUGGGCCAAGCUGGAGGACUGGCAGAAGAGGCUCGACAAGCAUGUGAUGGGGGCAGCUAUGAGAUGCUCGUUUCCCUGGAUUAUGCCAUCUCCAAACCGGUCAUUCUCACCCAGAUAGAGAGGGGAGAAGAGCCUUGUCCUGCAGGCCCCUGGGGCCAGGAGAAGGGGGGUGAGGAGAAGACAAUAUGUCAAAGGAAACCAAACACCAGUAUUUCUCUGAGUCCAGAGCAGGCCCCAAGUCCAGCUAGCCCUGCCCAGGAGGAACUGAAUCAAAGGCAGACACCUGAGCAGCAGCAAGAGGAAGCAACCAUGAUUCCACCUGAGCCAGGCACUGGGAUUCCAGCAAGCACCAGCCCUUUAUCACUUAAACAGGAGGAAGAAUCUGCAGAGGGAGGAGAGUUGCCACCCUCCCCUUCCACAGAUAGCCUGCUUUCUGUGGAGCCAGGGAAGUCCAGCCCUGCAAGGGCCCAGCUCUGAACAGGACAGGACCUGCACUGUCUCAGGGCCUUUCCCUUGUGCCUGCCAAGUGGUGGAAGUUCCUUCACUUUCCAGCUGAGUUGGUACUUUAGGGGCCCUUCAAAAGCACAAGCUCCAGACCAGGAAUUUGAGGUGAUAGUGUCAUGCCUCAAAGUCAUGAGAGCGGGUGCUUCAUGUGCCUCUUUGUCACAGCACCUUGGGGACAGCCUUGUGGAGCUUCUGGAGCUGGGUGAUGGAUUCCAAUUCUGAUAGUUUGCUCUCUUGUUUGGCACUCAGACACCAGAGCACAUGAAGGCUCCCAGGUGCCUUCAUCCCUGGCUGUGCUAUUGCUAAAGUCCUGCAGACUCUGUAGCCACUCAGAAGUCCUGCACAGACGAGGCAGAGGGUGACACUGCCGUCAUUCCCAGGGUAGGGGUAUGACUGGCAAGACUGUGGCAUGCAGCCAUGGUUCUGGACGUUACUUGCCUGCACACCCAACCGUUGUUUAGGCCCUGCAAGCAAGACAGCAGUUGUCAGUAAGCGCUCAGACUGAACGUGGACAGUAUAGCUGCCCCAAACUUAAUCCUCCGCUGCAAGCACUCAUGUUGCUGUUCUGGGGGUUCCUAGGCCUCUCUUCUAAUGCUUUAGAUGUUCUCUGGAAAACAAGUAUUCAUAUUUGAAGCACAAAUCCAAGUGCUGGGGUGGGGGAAGAGGCGCUGUAUAAUCCUGGCUCGCCUUGGGCUUGCAGUGAAUUUUUUUCCCCUACCUCUAUCUACCUACUAGGAUUUCCUUGCUUGUGCCAUUAUGCACAACUGGGCUUACUGCAUUUAACCUGAAAUUCAAUAGGACAGGUUAAAGAGUAUUUUGAGUUAAGAAUGAACAAAGGCUGCAUGGUUGCCUGAGCUCAAAGACGUUGGAUCCCAGAUUCUGAUGACUUAUUUUGUAAAACAAAGAUAUGGUUGGGUUGGUUACAAGGCCCUAAGAACCAUGGAGGUGGAAAUAUUAACUUAAUCGGUGCUCUAUAAAUACACUGGAAAAUGUA
rnacentral:lncRNA from 1 species